rnacentral:antisense_RNA from 1 species
CUUCAACGACCCCAACAACAACGGCCUGUCCUGAGGACGAUCCUGCCCAUAGGUCUCCAGAAGCGCCUGCACUUC